rnacentral:tRNA from 1 species
GCGGGUAUGGUGUAAUGGUAGCACAAUAGAUUUCCAAUCUCUUAGCAGGGGUUCGAUUCCCCUUACCCGCUCCA